ACAAGCGGUGGAGCAUGUGGUUUAAUUCGAAGCAACGCGAAGAACCUUACCAGGUCUUGACAUCCUCUGACAACUCUAGAGAUAGAGCGUUCCCCUUCGGGGGACAGAGUGACAGGUGGUGCAUGGUUGUCGUCAGCUCGUGUCGUGAGAUGUUGGGUUAAGUCCCGCAACGAGCGCAACCCUUGAUCUUAGUUGCCAGCAUUUAGUUGGGCACUCUAAGGUGACUGCCGGUGACAAACCGGAGGAAGGUGGGGAUGACGUCAAAUCAUCAUGCCCCUUAUGACCUGGGCUACACACGUGCUACAAUGGAUGGUACAAAGGGCUGCAAGACCGCGAGGUCAAGCCAAUCCCAUAAAACCAUUCUCAGUUCGGAUUGUAGGCUGCAACUCGCCUACAUGAAGCUGGAAUCGCUAGUAAUCGCGGAUCANCAUGCCGCGGU
rnacentral:rRNA from 2 species